rnacentral:rRNA from 1 species
UACGGAGGAUGCAAGCGUUAUCUGGAAUGAUUGGGCGUAAAGCGUCCGUAGGUGGCUAUUCAAGUCUGCUGUUAAAGCGCAGGGCUUAACCCUGUAAAGGCGGUGGAAACUGGAGAGCUAGAGUGUGGUAGGGGUAGAGGGAAUUCCCGGUGUAGCGGUGAAAUGCGUAGAGAUCGGGAAGAACACCAGUGGCGAAAGCGCUCUACUGGGCCACAACUGACACUGAUGGACGAAAGCUAGGGGAGCGAAUGGG